rnacentral:rRNA from 1 species
AAUACAUGCAAGUCGAGCGAACGGAUAAGGAGCUUGCUCCUUUGAAGUUAGCGGCGGACGGGUGAGUAACACGUGGGUAACCUACCUAUAAGACUGGAAUAACUUCGGGAAACCGGAGCUAAUGCCGGAUAACAUAUAGAACCGCAUGGUUCUAUAGUGAAAGAUGGUUUUGCUAUCACUUAUAGAUGGACCCGCGCCGUAUUAGCUAGUUGGUAAGGUAAUGGCUUACCAAGGCGACGAUACGUAGCCGACCUGAGAGGGUGAUCGGCCACACUGGAACUGAGACACGGUCCAGACUCCUACGGGAGGCAGCAGUAGGGAAUCUUCCGCAAUGGGCGAAAGCCUGACGGAGCAACGCCGCGUGAGUGAUGAAGGUUUUCGGAUCGUAAAACUCUGUUAUUAGGGAAGAACAAAUGCGUAAGUAACUGUGCGCAUCUUGACGGUACCUAAUCAGAAAGCCACGG